UACGGAGGGUGCAAGCGUUAAUCGGAAUUACUGGGCGUAAAGCGUGCGCAGGCGGUUUGUUAAGUCUGCUGUGAAAUCCCCGAGCUCAACUUGGGAAUUGCAGUGGAUACUGGCAGGCUGGAGUAUGGUAGAGGAAGGUGGAAUUCCCGGUGUAGCAGUGAAAUGCGUAGAGAUGCGGCGGAACACCGAUGGCGAAGGCAGCCCCCUGGGCUGAGAUUGACGCUCAGGCACGAAAGCGUGGGGAGCAAACAGG
rnacentral:rRNA from 1 species